rnacentral:rRNA from 1 species
UACGUAGGUGACAAGCGUUGUCCGGAUUUACUGGGCGUAAAGAGCGCGCAGGCGGUCGUUCAAGUCGAGUGUGAAAGCCCCCGGCUCAACUGGGGAGGGUCAUUCGAUACUGAUCGACUCGAAGGCAGGAGAGGGAAGUGGAAUUCCCGGUGUAGUGGUGAAAUGCGUAGAUAUCGAGAGGAACACCUGCGGCGAAGGCGGGUUGCUGGGCUGACACUGACGCUGAUGCGCGAAAGCCAGGGGAGCGAACGGG